UUUCCAUGGGAAGGGGCGGGCUGGGUCCAGUCCGCAGGGCCCCUCCGGGCGCUGACCUCGGAUGGAGUUGAGGUGCUGCGGCGCUGGACCCCAGGGCCCCUGCCUGCCUCCUGGGGAGCCGGGUGACCCAGGCAGCCCCGGUGAGGCCCCCCCGGCUCCCACAGGACGGAUGCGGACAGGGAAGCCGGGGAGGCCUCCCUGCUGGACUGUCCCUGCAGCCCCCAGCUUUCCGUGGUUCUAAGGGCCCCCUCUGCAGAGGGACCAGGGAGCCCGCCCUGCAUCCUGAGGCGCCGCGCUUGAGGGACCCCACAGCUCCGGCCAGGCCGCUUCCUUUGCGGAUCGUGAAGCUGAGGUCCAGAGGAGGGCAGGGGCAGGCCCUGGAAGCUCCCCAAGCAAAGGGAGCCGAUCUCGGGGCUGGGGUCACAGGGCUCCACUCCUGUGAUCUCUAGGGCCCUAGAGCCGGGAGGAGAGACUGGGGGGCCUUUCGUCCACCGCUGGGGCUGGGCAGAGGCUCAGCCUGGGCCGCAACGCGAAGCUGCUUCUGUGCAGUCCGAGCCGCGGCCCCUUUAAGAAGGGGUGGUGCUUCAGCCAGUCGCUAGGGACGCUGCCGGCGUGCGCGCCUCUACGGAAGCCGAGACGGCUCUUUCCGCGGGGCCCGGGCAGAAGCCGCGGCGUCGUUGAAGCCAACGGAAGCGGCGGCGAUGUGGUCUGAGCGAGCGAAAGCGGCGGCCAGAGUCUGGGGCGUAGUCCUAGUGGGCAGAAGCGCAGUCGACGUCCCAGCGAGCAGAAGCGACCGCGCGGUCCCAGCCGGCAAAAGCGGAGGCCGCGUCCCAGCGAACAGAAGUGGCGGCGUCCAGAAGCGGCGAGCUUCGGAGAAGCCGUGGUGGCUUCCAUGUGAUGGAGGAGCAGGAGGGACGCUUCCGCGGUCCAUCUGGGUUGCUGCACAUGGCACUGUUUCAUCAUUUCGGUGGCCAAAGAAUAUUCCCUAGUGUAUGCAUACGAGAGUUUCUUGAUCCCAUUGUGGAUGGACAGGAGGUGAAGAUGUUUUCAGUCUGCAUGCCUGGGAUCGUGUGGAAUGGGACUUUCUCUACCAGGCUCAUUCGUUGGACCUGAUGUUCUCCAGGUUUCUUCAUGUGGCUGCAGAUGGCAGGAUUCCCAGAGCUUUAUGGCUGGAACAUACUCCAUGGUGUAUCUGUACAGCAGUUUCUUCAUCCCUGCAGCUGCGGGUGGACAGGUCAUAGAUGAUGUCCUCCAAGUUCAACAGCGUGGCUCCAAAUGAUGACAUUUCAUUCCGGUUUUCUAGCUGAAGACGAUUCUAUUUGUGCACAUACACCAGGUAUCCCUUCAUGUGUGGAUGGGCAGCAUCAUUUCAGGAUGAGUAUUUCUUGGCAAGUGGAUUCAAGGAACAGUGCGAAGGAUCCAUGGCCUCAAUCACCAUGAAGAGCCUCCCAAGAGCCAACCGUCCUGGGCACAUGUGAGUGGAGACAUGGAACUCACCCUUACAAGGCCUAGAACCUGACAGAUCAUACAAGACAGAAGCCCAGGUAACUAAGAAGGGGACGCUGAAGGUGAGAGGUGGGCCCCAGAGGAUUCUGUGAAAAUGCUUUGUGUUUGUGGAUUUCUCACGCAGAAUGAAACCUUUGUUUUUAUUCACAGGUUAGACACACUCUCCAUAUAGAAUCUAUGAAGGGACAUUGCUGAAUUUUUUGAGGCCUAUAGUGAAAAAUGGAUUAUCUCAGGCAGCUCAGGAUGAAUAAUGCAGUCACCAAGAGGGGCAGGGUGGCCACAGGUGGCCAGCAGCAGGAAUGGGCAUUGUGAGCCAUUGGAUGGGGUUGUGGGAAAUGGCAUUGUGAGUCACUGGCCUGACUUUGUUGUUUCCUGGCAAUCAGGUGACAUAGGAGGCUUUGUGGGGGGACAGGCAUCAGCCAGGACCAGCAGCCUUCAGUCGGAAGCUGGUAGUGGGAGGAGGAGAAGCUCCGACUACUCUCACGGAAGUGUUUGUGUGCUUGGCGCUUGCUCUGUUGCUUUGUUUUUCCCUUUGAUUUAUUUUAUUCUAUGUUAUUUUGUCUGUUGCUUUUUUUUUUUUUUUUUUGGUGUUAUUUGUUUUGUUUUGUUUUUUUGUUUUAUAUUUUGUUGAUUUGUUGUUACAGUCCCCUUGUAGAUCACCCAUGGGGAAUUGCUUAGCCCCGGCGCUGGCGUCAGUUGUGCCUGCUGCGAGCCUUGUGGCCAGUCUGUGGCAUCCACCACUGCAGAGCCUGCCGCCUUACAUCCCGGAGUGAUGGAGGUCCAGCACAUGCUGCCCAUAAAAUCAAAGAGGUGCAAAGGUUUGGCUGGCCGCGCCAGGAGCUGGGCAGCAAAGAGGAGGCGCAAGAAAAUUUGCCACAGUGAAAAUGAAGGAGAGUGGUCCAGGAGCAUCUCAGUCCAUGCUUGUCAGCAGUGCAGCUCCAUACACUGCAGCUUCGGUCCACAUCCCCCAAGCCUCCUUGUGGGAUUCCUCAGCAGCACCAGUGCACUGACUGUCUCUCGGUGUUCUCCUACCUCCUGGUCAAGACCCAGAAGAGUGUGCUACUUAGAGGCUUCAGGAGGAGACGUCACCUCACAUAUUAAGAUGCAUGCUUCUAGAAUAUCAACUCCUUCUGAGGACAGUGAGACAUUUACUUCUGUGGAUGAUUACGAGAUCUCGUCAGUUUCUGAUUGCGGCAUGUACCUGGAAGUAGCUCAUCUGCUGAUUUUAAUAUAUAGAAACCUGACCCUGGGUUCUGGUUAAAGAACAUGGGGGCGUCUAAUGAGAGCAAAUAAUUUUGUAAGUGUAUACCUCUGAUCAGAGGGGCUGUAUGAAUGCAUGUGAACCCCGAGGACCAGCCAGGGGAUGUUGUGUGAGCCGACGUGGCUUCAGCUGGAGGAAGAGGAGUGGGUGAGUCACUCUAAUGACUUGUCCUGAUGUUUUUGUUUCUAAAGACCGGCCUCUGGAGACGGUCUUCACACUCAGUAAAGACGACCCCCAAGGUAGGGAACUACUUGCCAGGUAGGACCCAAUGGGAAAGGGCUCCUAAGAGCCUUCAUGUUAUCCCCGCUGCUUGAGGGGCUGAAGAAGGGGGUAUGAAAUCAGGAAAAAAUGAAAAUGUGUGCAAGGUUUGGUUUGCUCUUUUCAGAGUUUGUUGUCAUAAAGGUAGGAACUGUGUCUCUGGGCUGUGAAGGUGCUGUGAUCAUUAGAGAUGGUCUCUGCAGUACACCUGCUCUUUUCUGCCCAGUGAAGCAUCAAAACCUUUGGUUUGGAUUACUCAGCACUCCUUGGGAUUAUGCACAAGGGAUGUAGCGCUGGGCAUUGAGUGUCAUCUGUAAGGAAAGGAAGGAAUCUGUCAGAACAUCUGUCUCACAGGCAUUUACUUGAACUUAGAGAAAAAGCUCUGCUGGGGGGAAAUUGAUAAUCACCCUCUGAACUUUUAAGACUUGUUAUAUAUAGCACGUUUAUGUUUCUGUCCUGUCUGCGGGUUUAAAGGGAUCUCCCAGGGGUGGAUGGCAGAGUGAAUAUUCACUCUGGGCUCACUGGUGCAUCUCCAGUCUCCUGGGAAGGCAGAGAAGGAGUCUGACCUUGAGCGCAUUUGUAGCCUCCACUUCCCACCCCUACCGCAGAUUCUGAGAUGAGGCUUCUUUCUCUCCAGUUCUCUAAUUUUUGGGGAAACCAAGAGUUCCUUCCCACAGAAGAUGGCAUCACACUAUUUCCUGUCUUCAAAAAUUAGGUUUCCAUUCUUCCCACAGAAUAUGGCAUCACACUAUUUCCUGUCUUCAAAAAUUAGGUUUCCAUUGUUCUCUAAGUUGAUAUUUAUAAGUUAAGUGCUGGACCUUUUAUUCACAGAUUGCUAAAAGUUGUGCAGGAAACUCCAGAGGAUAAAAUGUGCUGACAGCACAUGAUUCUGUCCACGCUACGGAUGACAUUUUAUUUUUGGAGGAUCCUGAUUUUACAUAGUAAGAUGCAAAACUCAGCGGCACCCUCUCUCCAGUCUGGGGCGCUUCAUUAGAACUGGGUUCGCUGCUGCCAUUUGCUUUUCUUCAUGAGACCUUUGAACCACCUAAAUAUUGCCAGCACCCUCUUGGGACCCUGACGUCUGAGAGGGUGAGAUGGCACCAGUGCAGACAUCCCUGGUUCCUCCCUGAAAUUUCCCUCCUCCUUUAAUCUUCCUUAAGGGACCUGCUCUGACUGCUAAUGACUUGUUUAGACUCUCCAGCUUUGGACUGUCAUACAUAGAAUAAGUCAAUAUGUGUUUCUCGGUGUCUGGCUUUUUCGCUCACAUUAUGAUUUGAAAUUCAUUCAAGUUUGUAAGUGUAACUGUCAUUCUUCCAUCUCCUUGUUGCGUACCAUUCCACUGUAGUCACGUAUUACAGUUUAUCCACUCUACUGUUGAUUGACAUAGAAUUUUCUUCUUUUGUUUUUAAAUAAUUAUGCCUGUUAUAACAUAAGUAAUGUUGCUUUGAGUAUUUUUGUCAAUGGUUUUGGAAUAAUACUGGCACUCAUUUCUGUGAAGUAGAUUGUUAGAAGGGAACAUAUCUUUUAUUGUCAUGAAUAGUGCCAAAUACUUUUCAAAAUGGUGAUGCUAAUUCAUGCUCCUGUAGCAGCACAUGUGAGGAGACAUUUCUCCAAAUCCUUGUGAACUCUGUUUUUUCUUUCCCUAAAAAUUUCAUCACUGAGGUUAGUCUUUCAUUUGUAUAGCAUCUUACUUAAAAUUUUUAAGCAAAAAUUUUGUUUUAAUCUAAUGAUGCUGGCCAGUAGGUUUGUGUACGCCCGUCUGACCCCAGCCAUGUAAGUAGUCAUUGAUCAAAAUGUCACUGUGCCACAUGACUAAGUUAUUAAAAUGGAAAGGGUAACUGACACACAUCUGAGUCAUGGAUACUACGCAGUCACAUCUCUGUGUUGCCUCCUUGAAGCAUCACAGUCACUCUGAGGCAUAAUUAGUUUGGUUCUAUUCAUUACACAGAUGAGGAAUGUGAGUCUCGGGUAAGUAAAUUAUUCAUGAGACACGCCCACAGCUGGAUCUCUAACACCGAAGGCUAAUCUAUGAACUAACGUGCUGCACUGCCUGUCAUGGAGAAGUAGACUUGCCGUAAAGUGAAGUUUGCUUCCGUAGCUGGGCGUGUGAGCCCAGUGGGGUUGCUGUGACCCAUUGCUUUAUGGGUUUGAGAUUGGUGUUGCAGAAACCCAGAUGGAGAAGCUCUUUGGCUGAGGGAGUGAAAACUUACUGAAAGGAUAGAUGAGUGCGUUGGAAGGAUCACGCUUCCAUAGAGCAUGUUGUUGAGCCUCUUGGAAUAAGAACAGAUAAAAUCAGAGUCACCCUGUCCUCAGUUGUACCAUUCAGUAAGCAUCAGCAUGCCAUGAAGUGUGCUCCCUGUUGUGUUGCAGGGACAUGAAAUCUAUCCCAGGCCUCUGUGGCCGCCCAUUCUGUCCCAUCCAGUGAAGCUCUGUUCUGUUCAUUGGUCUACAUCUCGGUUUCGGUAUUAGUACCAUGCCGUUUUGAUUACUGUAGCAGUUGACUAUGUUUCUGAUCAGGUUUUCAGUACUCAUUGAGAGAAGCAGAACCUCGUGCAAACAAUCCACAGCACGCCGUGCCCUCAUACUGCUUUGUUUCUGUGUUGCAGGUAGUGCCAGUGUUGCAUCUGAAGUAUGACUCUGGCGAGGCCGAGUGUUUUCUCAGGAGAGAUUUCCCAUUUACACAGCCCAGUCACCAGUGUCCACUUCUAAAAAAUAAAAUCCAGACGAUCGAUCCAAGAUGGCCGACCACUAACAGCUCAGGAUUGUAGCUCCCAGUGAAAGCCCAGAGAACGAGACAACGCCACACUUUUAGACAAAUUUUCGUCACUCACCGAUCAGCUGAUUCCCAGUGGAGGAGCCCCACGGGUCGCCAGCGCGACUCUUGUGGCCGCUGCAGUGGUUUUGCCGGCGUCUCGGCGCAGCAGCUCUUCAUGCAGAGCCAACGGGACUGCUUCCCCUACUGACUAGAGUUUGGAGCUCCGGGAAGUCAGAGCCGCUUGUUGCGGACUCAAGAGGGAAGCCAGACCAGAGAUUCCCGGGCAGAAGAGCACCAUCAGUCUUACCGCUGCUAUUUAGGCUGCCACAGUGGGUUGCUCGGAUCCCAACACUGGGAAUCAAUAAGUCAGACGUCGACUCAGAAAACUAAUUAGAAAGGCGGUUCAUCUACAAUGAAGGGAAAGAAACAGCCUAAGAAGGCCGAGUAUACUCAAGGUCAGAACCCAUCAGCAACAGAACAAGCCCUGAUGGAAAAGGACUCAUCAGCAACCGAACAAGCCCUGAUGGAAAAGGACUCAUCAGUAACGGAACAAGCCCUGAUGGAAAAGGACUGUGUUCCAUUAUCUGAAGCAGGCUUUAAAAGGUGGAUGAUAAGAAACUUCUGGGAGUUAAAGGAACUCGUUCUAACCCAAUGUAAAGAAACUAAGAACUUGGAAAAAAGGUUAGAUGAAAUGUUGAAAAUAGACAAUAUAGAGAGGAAUACAAAUGAACUUAUGGAGUUGAAAAAUACAACACGAGAACUUAGUGAAAUAUGUACAAGCUUAAACAGCCGAAUGGAUCAAGCAGAAGAAAGGGUAUCAGAGGUCGAAGAUCAACUUAAUGAAACAAAACAAGACAAGAAUAGAGAAAAAAGGAUAAAAAGGAAUGAGCAAAGUCUCCAAGCAAUAUGGGACUAUGUGAAAAGACCUAAUAUAUGCUUGAUUGGUGUACCUGAAUGUGACGGAGAGAAUGAAUUCAAGCAGGAAAUUACUCUCCAGGACAUUAUCCAGGAAAAUUUUCCUAAUUUAGCAAAGCAGGACACUAUUCAACCCCAGGCAAUACAGAGAACACCACAAAGAUAUUUCUCAAGAAGACCAACCCCAAGGCACAUAAUCGUUAGAUUCACCAAGAUCGAAACGAAGGAGAAAAUAUUAAGGGCAGCCAGAGAGAAAGAUCAAGUUACCCAUAAAGAAAGAGUUGUUUUAAGAAAACAGAUGCCGAUAGAGAUCGAUCCAAGAUGGCCGACCACUAACAGCUCAGGAUUGUAGCUCCCAGUGAAAGCCCAGAGAACGAGACGACACCACACUUUUAGACAAAUUUUCGUCACUCACUGAUCAGCCGAUUCGCAGUGGAGGAGCCCCACGGGUUGCCAGCGCGACUCUUGUGGCAGCUGCAGCGGUUUUGCCGGCGUCUUGGCGCAGCAGCUCUUCAUGCAGAGCCAACGGGACUGCUUCCCCUACUGACUGGAGUUUGGAGCUCCGCUUGUUGCGGACUUGAGGGAAGCCAGACCAGAGAUUCCCGGGCAGAAGAGCACCAUCAGUCUUACCGCUGCUAUUUAGGCUGCCACAGUGGGUUGCUCGGAUCCCAACACUGGGAAUCAAUAAGUCAGACGUCGACUCAGAAAACUAAUUAGAAAGGCGGUUCAUCUACAAUGAAGGGAAAAAAACAGCCUAAGAAGGCCGAGUAUACUCAAAAUCAGAACCCAUCAGCAACAGAACAAGCCCUGAUGGAAAAGGACUCAUCAGCAACCGAACAAGCCCUGAUGGAAAAGGACUCAUCAGUAACGGAACAAGCCCUGAUGGAAAAGGACUGUGUUCCAUUAUCUGAAGUAGGCUUUAAAAGGUGGAUGAUAAGAAACUUCUGGGAGUUAAAGGAACUCGUUCUAACCCAAUGUAAAGAAACUAAGAACUUGGAAAAAAGGUUAGAUGAAAUGUUGAAAAGAAUAGACAAUAUAGAGAGGAAUACAAAUGAACUUAUGGAGUUGAAAAAUACAACACGAGAACUUAGUGAAAUAUGUACAAGCUUAAACAGCCGAAUGGAUCAAGCAGAAGAAAGGGUAUCAGAGGUCGAAGAUCAACUUAAUGAAACAAAACAACAAGACAAGAAUAGAGAAAAAAGGAUAAAAAGGAAUGAGCAAAGUCUCCAAGCAAUAUGGGACUAUGUGAAAAGACCUAAUAUACGCUUGAUUGGUGUACCUGAAUGUGACGGAGAGAAUGAAUUCAAGCAGGAAAAUACUCUCCAGGACAUUAUCCAGGAAAAUUUUCCUAAUUUAGCAAAGCAGGACACUAUUCAACCCCAGGCAAUACAGAGAACACCACAAAGAUAUUCCUCAAGAAGACCAACCCCAAGGCACAUAAUCGUUAGAUUCACCAAGAUCGAAACGAAGGAGAAAAUAUUAAGGGCAGCCAGAGAGAAAGAUCAAGUUACCCAUAAAGGUAAGCCUAUUAGGUUUACAGCAGAUCUCUCAAUGGAAACCCUACAAGCUAGAAGAGUGGGGGCCAAUAUUCAAUAUACUUAAUCAACAGAACUUUCAGCCCAGAAUUUCAUAUCCUGCCAAUUUAAGCUUUACAUUUGAAGGAAAAAUAAAAUUUUUUAGGAACAAGCAAGUACUCAGAGAUUUUAUUACCACCAGGCCUGCUUUACAAGAACUUCUAAAAGAAGCAUUAUACACAGAAAGGAACAACCAGUAUGACCCUUUCUAAAAAUACACCAAAAAGUAAAGAGCAUUAACAUAAAGAAGAAUUUUUAUCAACAAAAGGACAAAAUAGCCAGUUAAUAUCAAACGGCAGCAACCCUAAAUUUAAAUCGACCAAAUCUCCCAAUCAAAAGAUACAGACAAAAUCUAACGGUAUAUCCAAAGAUAUACAUAGACUCAAAAUAAAGGGUUGGAAAAAAAACGUACCAACCAAAUGGAGAGCAAAAAUAAAUAAAUAAAAAGCAGGAGUUGCAAUUUUCACAUUUGACAAAAUAGAUUUCAAAGCUACAAGAAUAAAAGGAUUAAUGUAAUAAUAAGAGAUCUUAACACCCAGAUACAUAAGACCCAUAAUGAGAUUUAGAUUCAACGAGACAGAAAAUUGAAAACGAUAUCCAGGACUGGAACUAAGAUCCAGAACAAAUAAACUCAAUAGGGCUCUCCAUUUUAAACACACAAAAUAUACAUUAUCCACAAAAUCUAACGAUAUAUCUAAAGAUAUACAAAGACUCAAAACAAGGGGAUGGAAAAAAAACUCACCAACCAAAUGGAGAGCAAAAAUAAAUAAAUAAAAAGCAGGAGUUGCAAUUCUCACACUUAAUAAAAUAGAUUUCAAAGCUACAAGGAUGCAAGGGUAAAAGGAUUAAUGCAACAAUAAGAGAUCUUAACACCCAGAUACAUAAGACACAUAAUGAGAUUUAGAUUCAACGAGACAACAAAUUGAUAACGAUAUCCAGGACUUGAACUCAGAGCCAGAACAAAUAAACACAAUAGAGGUCUCCAUUUUAAACACAUAAAAUACGCAUUAACCACUUUAAACACUCAAAAUAUUGAUCGGCCAUUAUUGAAACCCAUUUUAGGAAUGAAGUAAUAUUCCUUUUUCCCUCUUUUUCUUUUUUUCCCCUUCUUCUUCUAAAAAAAAAAAAGAAAGAAAGAAAACAGAUGCCUCUGUCUGUGUUUGUGAACAGGAGUGUUGGGUCUAAUGUCUUUCUCUGGUAGCUCUGCGGGAAGAUUGCCCACCUCACCCUUGCUUUCUUCGGGUUCUAGAGGCUUCCAUUUAAAGGAGCUUCUCUCCCCACUCUGCCUCACCCGACACCAGCUCUCCUGUUCCCACUGGCUUUCCUCCACCUCCACCUCAUUGCAUUCAAGACUGGAAAAGAGUCAAAAAUUAUAAAAAGGUGGGAGUGGGGUGAUCCAGAAAUCCCUGCUAUAAUAUUUUUAAAGGAAUCUACUGGAAACUGUUUCAAAUAAAGCCCUCCCUUACUUAG